rnacentral:rRNA from 1 species
GAGAGAGACAUGCGCGCAUAUCAAUAAGCGGAGGAAAAGAAACUAACAAGGAUUCCCCUAGUAACGGCGAGUGAAGCGGGAAGAGCUCAAAUUUGAAAUCUUAAAGGGUUUCCCUUUACGAAUUGUAGUUUAAAGAAGUGUUUUCUGUUGAGGUUUUGGUAAAAGUUCUUUGGAAUAGGACAUCAUAGAGGGUGAGAAUCCCGUAUUUGACCUUUACUUUCAACUUUGUGAUACACUUUCAAAGAGUCGGAUUGUUUGGGAAUGCAGUCCAAAAUGGGUGGUAAAUUUCAUCUAAAGCUAAAUAUUGGCGAGAGACCGAUAGCGAACGAGUACCGUGAGGGAAAGAUGAAAAGAACUUUGAAAAGAGAGUUAAACAGUACGUGAAAUUGUCAAAAGGGAAGCGUUUGACACCAGUGUUGUUUUUCUGAAAAUCAAUUAAAGAACUGUUUAUGCUAAGUUGUUUAGACUUUAUCAGCUAACUGUUUAGUUUUGAGCUUUUCUUUAAUGCACUUUUCAGUUAACAAGUCAACAUCAAUUUCUUUUGCUGUAAAAAAGCUUGAGGAAGGUGGCUUGAGAUUCGUCUUAAGUGUUUAUAGCCUCUUGCCUAUGCAGUCGGAGAGAUUGAGGUCUGCAGCGUAGAUCCUUCGGGGCUAAAUGCAUUUGUGCUAAGUUAUAGCAUUUUAUAGACAACUUGUUGACUAUGAUUUGUCUUGUAGCUUACUCGCUUAUGUUAUUUUACCUACGCUUAGGAUGUUGAGCGCAUGUCUCUCUCU